rnacentral:rRNA from 1 species
UCCAGCCAUGCCCCGUGCAGGAUGAAGGCCUUCGGGUUGUAAACUGCUUUUGUACGGAACGAAAAGACUCUGGUUAAUACCUGGGGUCCAUGACGGUACCGUAAGAAUAAGCACCGGCUAACUACGUGCCAGCAGCCGCGGUAAUACGUAGGGUGCAAGCGUUAAUCGGAAUUACUGGGCGUAAAGCGUGCGCAGGCGGUUAUAUAAGACAGAUGUGAAAUCCCCGGGCUCAACCUGGGAACUGCAUUUGUGACUGUAUAGCUAGAGUACGGCAGAGGGGGAUGGAAUUCCGCGUGUAGCAGUGAAAUGCGUAGAUAUGCGGAGGAACACCGAUGGCGAAGGCAAUCCCCUGGGCCUGUACUGACGCUCAUGCACGAAAGCGUGGGGAGCAAACAGGAUUAGAUACCCUGGUAGUCCACGCCCUAAACGAUGUCAACUGGUUGUUGGGUCUUCACUGACUCAGUAACGAAGCU